CGAUAUCAGAAAUUCCACGUCAGAGACUUUUGACUGUCGUUGGUACGGCGCGCCUUCGAAGAAAUGGUACACGGUGAAAUUGACUCCUAUUAGGUGGGAGAGGUGGUGUACGGUGCCGAUCGAAGGCGAUUGAAUUUUCUCAGCGGUACGACGUUUCACUCCUUGUUAUUUGUUAUGAUCGCUACACGAUCUUAAUCCUGUACAAAGUUACAGGUUUCGAGAAGAUUUAGGAAAAGUGUGCUACGCCUGAUUCGUGAGAUCUGAAAUUUGAUCUUCGAUUUUACUAUCCGCUUGUAUACUGCUUG
rnacentral:misc_RNA from 1 species